CCUUUUGUGCAUGGGACCACCAAGUGGGCAGCUGUGGAGGAGUGUAGCAGUCUGGUUGGGGUGUAAAAAGUGAUCAGGUCUCGGGGAGCAGAACAGUUUUGUAGACUCUAAAUUUGGUCCAGGCAGCUAUAAGAAUAGGAAGCCAAUGGAAAGAGAUGAGGAGGGGAGAUACGUAGGAAUACUUUGGCAGGUCAAACACAAUUUGUCCAGCAGCAUUCCGUAUCUGAGAUGUUUGAUGGCAGAGGCCAGAAGAGCAUACGGGAGAAAGCUGCAGUAGUUCAGGCUGGAUAUCACCAAGGCCUGGACCAGGAGGUGCUUAGAGUUCCGUAGAGAUAGGGGUGGAGCCUACAUUUGUUAUGAAGGAUGUAUUGGUAGGAUCAGGUUGUGGCUGUGAUAUGUUGAGAGAAAGAUACUGUAGACUUGUGUCAAUCAUGACUCCCAGGCUCUAAGCUGAUGAGGUAAGAAAAAUAAGUGAAUUAUCCAGUUCGAUAGAGAAUUCUCAACAGGAGGACAUGUCAGCUGGGACGUGAAGGUGAAGGAUCUGUGUUUUAAAGAAAUUAAGUUGCAGGUGGUGAUCAGAUUCAUGCAUAUGCAACCAAUCCAGAAUUUUCCAGUCCAUUAAAAGUAGACUUAUUUUACCACUGUUUAACUUUAUUCUCUGUUCCUUCGCCUAACCUACAUCCCGUCUUGUUUGGUUAUCAAAGAAAACCUCCUAAAACUUGCUAGGUAAUUAAACACCCAAAAUUAGCCUGAUGGAAUAUGACCUUUUAAUUAGUGGCACACUGGGAAAUUGCAUCAUUGGAUGUCUUCAAGGGUCCUCCAUUCCUGAAAUCCCAGGGAGGCACUUCUUCAGCCCCUCAACUAAUCUGUCUAAGUUGGUACAACUCCUUUGGUCCUGGUUUUGGUCCAUUGCCCAGGGCUAGUCUGAUCACAGAUGUGAGUCACUGAACAUUUGUGAUUAGCAGAAAAACUCACUGGAUCUCUGCCUUUAGAGUAAUCUCAUUAGGAUAAUGGAGACAUUUCUAGUCGUGGCAGUCACAUUGGAUGAGCAUUUGGUUUUGUUUUCACCAAGGCAAAUUAUAAUGAGAAUGUGAGUGCAAGAGAGAGAGAGAGCAGGCAAAAGGAUGUGGGAAAUGAACAGGAUGCAUUCUGCUUGCUGGCUGAUCCAUUCUAAUCAGUGUUACUGAGACUCUUCAGGAGUUCAUUAGUGAAACACAAGAAGCCUGAUCCUUCCCAAUGCGCAAACAUACACAGCAAUCAUUAGGAGCGAUACAAAGGAAACGCGGUGGGCAGGCAUGGUGGCUGUGAUGUAGGCUGGUGGGUCCUCAUACAUGUGUCCUUUUUCCCUGUGCAUCACUGGCAUGGCUGCAGAGACAACAUACCUUUCUUGCCUCAAGGCUCUCAAAAGCUCAUUUGGACUCAGGAAAUUUCCACUGGGCAACUACAAUAACCUGCAGGGAAGAAAUAUCAUUCCAUUCCACCAUAACAGCUUGGAAUGGAUCAUUCCUAUUCUAUGGCAUCACAUAAUAAAUUGCUGGUCAAUGGGCAACAUAUCAAUUAUUGGCUGCACGGUUCAUCACUAAAAAUGUGUCCAAGGCUGAGACCAAGAAUUUGUUACCAAAAUGUUGUCACGUCUUGUCAUGGCUGUCUGGGUACUGUCGUAUUAUAAGAUGUUCAAAAUGGGGCUUGCUAUUUCUGGUGAAACAAGGAUACAGCAUCAUAAAGGAACAGAGCAAUAUAAGAAAGUGAACAAUUAUACUUAUCUCAAAGGUUUGGAAGAAAAGAAGGUCUUGUUUCUUAAGCAUAUGCUUUAAGUUUAAUUGCAUUUGUUGCAUUCA